CGCGAUCAUGACUGGAACGAACUGCGCGAGGCUGCGAUCAAGGCGAAGAAGGCCGCUCCCUGUGUCCCGGUGCUGGCGACCGAUCCGCUGUACAUUCUCUACACAUCAGGCACGACCGGAAAACCCAAGGGCGUGGUGCGCGACAAUGGCGGCCAUCUGGUCGCGCUGAAAUGGUCGAUGUUCAAUCUCUACGGCGUGAAACCGGGCGAGGUCUGGUGGUGCGGCUCCGACAUCGGCUGGGUGGUCGGACACAGCUACAUCAUCUACGCACCGCUGUU
rnacentral:misc_RNA from 1 species